CACAUAGCUCCGAUGUCCGUGUCUGCACAGUUUCCUCAAACCACAGACUGUAAAAGAAACCUCGAACGCACAGCAACGUUGGUAAUACUGAGAUUUAAAAACUUUUAAAACCAUGACGAGAGAGACUCAACGACUACAGCAAAGAGCUGCUGUUUUUAUGAAAAAGAGAAGAGAAAGCGAGGAGCGGAGUAGAGAGGAGAAGAAGGAGAACGAGAGGGGAACGGAGGAGAGGGCAGUUCCAUGGCAGCAUCAAGCCAUCCCAGAUGGCCCAAACCCCUCAGCCAUCUGGUGAGGAGUCGUCUCUCCAUCAGUCUGUCCCCUUUCAUUUAGUAGUCAUGGAGUUCUCUCUCUCUCUCUCUCGACCCUAACACUUCAGCUCUCUCUCUCUCUCUCGACCCUAACACUUCAGCUCUCUCUCUCUCUCUCCACCAUGACCCUAACACUUCAGCCCUGUCUCUCUCUCUCUCCACCAUGACCCUAACACUUCAGCCCUGUCUCUCUCUCUCCACCAUGACCCUAACACUUCAGCCCUGUCUCUCUCUCCCUCUCUCGACCCUAACACUUCAGCCCUGUCUCUCUCUACACCAUGACCCUAACACUUCAGCCCUGUCUCUCUCUCCACCAUGACCCUAACACUUCAGCUCUCUCUCUCUCUCCACCAUGACCCUAACACUUCAGCUCUCUCUCUCUCUCUCUCCACCAUGACCCUAACACUUCAGCCCUCUCUCUCUCUCUCUCCACCAUGACCCUAACACUUCAGCCCUCUCUCUCUCUCUCUCCACCAUGACCCUAACACUUCAGCCCUGUCUCUCUCUCUCUCCACCAUGACCCUAACACUUCAGCCCUGUCUCUCUCUCUCUCUCUCUCUCUCUCGACCCUAACACUUCAGCUCUCUCUCUCUCUCCACCAUGACCCUAACACUUCAGCCCUGUCUCUCUCUCUCUCUCGACCCUAACACUUCAGCCGUCUCUCUCUCUCUCGACCCUAACACUUCAGCCCUGUCUCUCUCUCUCUCUCUCUCGACCCUAACACUUCAGCCCUGUCUCUCUCUCCACCAUGACCCUAACACUUCAGCCCUGUCUCUCUCUCUCUCCACCAUGACCCUAACACUUCAGCCCUGUCUCUCUCUCUCUCUCCACCAUGACCCUAACACUUCAGCCCUGUCUCUCUCUCUCUCCACCAUGACCCUAACACUUCAGCCCUGUCUCUCUCUCUCUCCACCAUGACCCUAACACUUCAGCCCUGUCUCUCUCUCUCUCCACCAUGACCCUAACACUUCAGCCCUGUCUCUCUCUCUCCACCAUGACCCUAACACUUCAGCCCUGUCUCUCUCUCCCUCUCUCGACCCUAACACUUCAGCCCUGUCUCUCUCUACACCAUGACCCUAACACUUCAGCCCUGUCUCUCUCUCCACCAUGACCCUAACACUUCAGCUCUCUCUCUCUCUCCACCAUGACCCUAACACUUCAGCUCUCUCUCUCUCUCUCCACCAUGACCCUAACACUUCAGCCCUGUCUCUCUCUCUCUCCACCAUGACCCUAACACUUCAGCCCUGUCUCUCUCUCUCUCUCUCUCUCUCUCGACCCUAACACUUCAGCCCUGUCUCUCUCUCUCUCUCUCGACCCUAACAUUUCAGCCCUGUCUCUCUCUCUCUCUCUCUCGACCCUAACACUUCAGCCCUGUCUCUCUCUCCACCAUGACCCUAACACUUCAGCCCUGUCUCUCUCUCUCUCUCUCUCCACCAUGACCCUAACACUUCAGCCCUGUCUCUCUCUCUCUCUCCACCAUGACCCUAACACUUCAGCCCUGUCUCUCUCUCUCUCCACCAUGACCCUAACACUUCAGCCCUGUCUCUCUCUCUCUCUCUCUCUCUCUCGACCCUAACACUUCAGCUCUCUCUCUCUCCACCAUGACCCUAACACUUCAGCCCUGUCUCUCUCUCUCUCCACCAUGACCCUAACACUUCAGCCCUGUCUCUCUCUCUCUCUCUCUCUCUCUCUCUCGACCCUAACACUUCAGCCCUGUCUCUCUCUCUCUCUCUCGACCCUAACACUUCAGCCCUGUCUCUCUCUCUCUCUCUCUCUCGACCCUAACACUUCAGCCCUGUCUCUCUCUCCACCAUGACCCUAACACUUCAGCCCUGUCUCUCUCUCUCUCUCUC
rnacentral:lncRNA from 1 species